UACGAGUGCCUCGAGCGUUAUCCGGAAUCAUUGGGCGUAAAGGGUGCGUAGGCGGUUGUUUAAGUUUGGUGUGAAAUCUCCCGGCUCAACUGGGAGGGUGCGCCGAAUACUGAAUGACUAGAGUGCGGGAGAGGAGAGUGGAAUUCCUGGUGUAGCGGUGAAAUGCGUAGAUAUCAGGAGGAACACCGGUGGUGUAGACGGCUCUCUGGACCGUAACUGACGCUGAGGCACGAAAGCGUGGGUAGCAAACAGG
rnacentral:rRNA from 1 species